rnacentral:lncRNA from 1 species
CCCGGGCCGCGGGGCGGGGGGCGGGGGGCGGCGGCACAGCCGGGCUCGGGCUCGGGCUCGGGCUCGGAGCGGAGCCCUGGCCGCCGCGGGGCGUGGCCUCGGAGCCUGUCGGAGGCGUGGAGCGUGCGCUCAGGAGCCACCUGGAGGGGGCGGCCGGGAGGCGGGCAGGCACGGCGCGGGCCAGUGGCGCAAUGGAGAACGCGUCUGACUACGGAUCAGAAGAUUCCAGCCAUCUGGACUCCUUCCGCCAGCCGCCUCCCCAUAUAUAGACCCGAGAGACCCGGGACCGGCUACUCCUGGGAUCUCGGCAAGCAGGACUCGGGGUCCCAAGUGGCCAGGUGAGAGCCCCGCCGGCCCCUCUGAAUGGCCAGCCUCGAGUUCUCCUGCGGGUGCUGAGGAGGGCGAGCCACGAAGGAGGACCCAAAGCCUCCCCCCGUAGGGCCGCUCACUGGUUCUGGGAGCCCUCCCAUCCCGGGGAAGGCCUGACUCCCACUUAGAUCCCGGCUGGAGGGCUGGGGCUGGGGGAGGGGGAGCCCCGAGACGCCCUCCCCAGUCUCAGGCAGCUUCGGGUCUGGGGGGUCUCCCUGUAGGAGGAUGGGGCUGAUCUCGGACCUUCCCUGCCUCUUGUCUGGCUGUCUGCUGCUCAGCACUCUUGGGGAAGGCGCUGUGGCCAACAAGACGAGCACCCGGAGCAGGUGCCCUCCCGACUACGUCUACAUCAGUGGCUGGUGCUAUGUCGCCUUUGGGGACCUCCUCAGCUGGUCAGAAGCUUACCUCGAAUGCGCGAGGCUGACAGAAGGCGCUUCCCUGGCGACCAUUAGAAAUGAGCAGGACCAGCAGAUCUUGGGCCACCUGCUGGCCAGCACCACGGCCAGGAAGCAGGCCUGGAUCGGCCUCCGAAGAUCCAACGGUUAUCGCUGGGUGUGGGUCGACGGGAGCAGAUUCAGGUUGCAGCCCUUCGAUCUCCUGCCCUGGUCCGCAGGGUACGACUGCGCCGUGCUGGACACCAGCGGAGACUCACCAACUUGGGUGGCAGAGUCCUGCAGCAAUAAAAACUCCUUCAUCUGUCAAAUGCCCACCUAGAAAAGCUGAGUGGAGCCUGAGACUCAAUGGCCAGGGAACUAAAGUCUUCCCCGAGCUUCUGGCUACUGAGGCACAGUGUGUCUGCUUUUUCUCCAUUAAAACCUUCGUUUUUCCUCCUGGAGGUGUUUGUAUGGGCAGACUCUCCAGGUCUUUCAUUUCUUUCUUUCAUCCCAAGUCCCCAGUGAAAUUCUCUGUGAUCCAAUAA